UGUUAAAAAGACAAAAUGAGUGACCCUGCAGCUGAAAAGAAGGAAGAGAAAUGUUCUCAUGAGGAGGAAGGAUCAGGAUCAGGAUCAGAGGGAGAAGGAUCAGGAGUAAGAAAAGUUUCACAUGUGCUUUCUGUUGUUUUGCUCUGUUGAUUCUGUAAUAUUGUAGCAUUCAUGAGUUUAUUUGUCUUUAUCACUUACAGGGAGAAGGAAAAGGAAAGGUACAACUUCAGCAGCCUUUUGGAAUUGAAAGUUUGCUGCCAUCUGAGUUACAAUACGUUUUUAAUCACUUAAUUUUCUAACGGUUGUUUACAGGGGAAAGAGAAAAAGCAUGGAAAAGGAGGUGAACAUGGCCAUGGAGGUGGAAGAGGAGGUGGACAAGGAAGAGGAGGCGGACAAGGAAGAGG